CGGCCGUGCCCGUGCUGCAGGCGUAGCCACAGUGAACACACAGCUAGAUACUCGAUCGGAGUUGCAGAAGAACGCACGCCCGCCAGCAUGCCGUGCCAUGCGCCGGUGCCGGAGCGCGGGCUGCGACUGCCAGGCGCGGCAGGGGGAGCAUACAGGGGCGGAGCCCAUUUGCCCUACACGUGCCGGAAUCACAAGAGUAAACCUGCUGCGGCGUUCUGGGCUGCUGGGUCUGACUCUCUGACCGCCCCUUCGGCCUGUCAUUACCCCCGCCGUGGACAACUUCGUCGUGCUCCCUCCCCAGUGCCCACUCCCUCUUGGUUCUGCAUGCACGGGAUGCUCUUACUUGUCACCGAUCCGUUCCAUAUCAGUCGUUCUAUCCGGAUUAUACACUGGGGUUCGACAUCCAGCUGUUUCACAAACGUGGUUUAUCGUUUCGGUGAUCAAUAGUGAGACGUGUAAAUGCUGGAUCAGCCAUUCAGCACCAUCGUAUCAUGAUCGUUAUCAUGAUGGUACUCCACGAUGUAACUACUCCAUCCGUCACAUAAUUUUUAUCAAAAUAUUACAUGUA